UAAAGCUUCAUCUGUCUCAAAACCAGAGUGGAAGUUGAACAGUGCCUUGCUCUGGGAAGCUCCGGGCAUUCCUAGAUGAUGGCUGCAUCUUACAUGCUGCUGAAGUCUGACCUAAAGGAGACUGAAAGAUAAGAUGAGAAUGAAUGAAAGAAGCCCAACUGUAUUAGUCAUUUAUUGCUGCCUAUCAAAUUUACCCAAAACUUAGCAGCUUAAAACAAACAAGAUUUAUUACCUCACACACUAUCUGACGGUCAGGAAUCGAAGAGCAGUGUGGCUGGGUGGUCCCGGCUCCGUGUUUCUCACAAAGUUGCAGUCAGACGUCAGCUGAGGCUACAGUCAUCUCGAGUCUCUACUGGGGCUCAUGGAUUCAAUGCCAAGUUUACUCGCAUGACUGUUGGCUAGAGGCCUCAGUUCUUUGCCAUGUGGCUCUCUUUACAGGGCUACCUGGUUUCUGCCUGAGCAGCAAGUGAUGAAGGAGAGUGAGCGUAUGAGAGAGUAAGAGAGUGAGCCCAAUCGUGGACUGACCACACAAUUGACCCUGGUUUACUGUGAGAAAGGACACAGACUGUGAACACCAGGAGGGAUCUUGGAAGCCCCAUGUUGAAGGUGGCAGAGCAACAAAAAUUGAGGAAACCCUGAAUCCCUGAAUUACUAUUUGGAGAUGACCACCCACUAAUUCGGAACACUCAUUAUUGGGCUUUAGGAGAAUGAGAAGUUCUAUCAUGUUUGAGACUCCGUACAUCUUUGGAUUUGUUUUAACAGCUAGUUUUACCCUGGCUAACAUGGCAAUUGACAGCCUCUGAGAGGAGAUUUGGAGAAUCUGCUUUUUUAACAAGUACUCCAGGGGAGUUUGAGAAUCACUGCUGAAAGCCAAGGGGAGCCAGCCACCCAAGGAUUUAACGCUGACCAAGGAACACCACGCUAUUUGCAUUUUAGAAUGACAGCAAGGGAGCAGAACUCUGCCCCCUUCUUGUCUGCCAAGGAGAACAAUCUACUGACUCAAAAGAAAAAGAAAACUUUGGUAAGAGAAAAUUGAAGCUCUAGAUGAGUGAAAAGAUUCUAACAGCACCAAGCUGCCGUAAAUGAGCUCAAGUCUCCUGGCCAGGACAAAUUACACUCCAGGGAGUAGAGAGAACUCGCCUCUGAAGCUGUAAAGCCUCUGCUGAUAAUCUUUACAGAACAUGGAGACUGUGAAAGAAAUUGGAACGCUAGAAAUGGCAAAAUAUAGCUCUGAUUAGUAAAGAGGGGGAAAGCUUCUGCAAACUACAAAAGUGGGGCUAUCCUAUCCAUCCUCAUUAAAUUCCCUGAUCAGACUACUUAAGGCUGAGCUGUGAGUACGUGAAAAAUGGAGCAGAAUCCUCUAGAAGCCUGUGUGGGUUCUUUAAGAGCAAGCCACGACAAGGCAUUGGACCAGGAAGGAGAGAAAUGGGGCCUUUUCUGGCCAGGUGCUCUCACUGACUCCGGGUACAAGGAAGAAUACAAUAUGAUUCCUGUCCUCAAGUCCACAUGCCUGUGGAUACUAACCUUUACACAGACAACAUAAGAACUGAACAGGGUGGUAUUUAAUUAAGAUAAAAGAAGUAGCAAGAGUAACAAGUAAUAAGUGAGAAUAAGUAUUAAACUAUGUACUGACUUUGGGAGUACCCAGGCUCCAUUUUUAUGCCAAAUCUCUGGUGUUAAGGCAUAAAAGAUACUGUGUUUAGAACAUGUCCUGAAAGGGAACAUGUUCUAAAAAAAACACAAAACAGCAGAAAGGAUAACGUUCUGCUGCUGACUUGUGUUCAUUGUUCAACUUGUGGGCCACUAGGACUCUUGAAUCUUCUUUCUCCAUAUUUGCAUCUAAUUAGCAUUUGUGUAGUUGCUAUCUUUCCCUGAAAUGUUUCUUUCUCAACACUCAGUAUUGCCGUAACAAGAUGGGGAAACAGAGGAAAUAAUUUUUUUAAAUGUUCAAUUGAUUUCCUUUUUUAAAAAGACACCUUUAUUGAAUUAUUACAUAUCAUAAAAUUCAUCUGUUUUAUGUGUGCAACUCGAUGAAUUUUAGUAAAUUUACAGAGGUGUGCAGCCAUCACAACCAGCUUUAAAACAUUUCCAUUACCAGACAGAAUAAUUUAAGGGCACAAUCCAAUGAAUGUGGGCAUAUUUAACCUACUUGAGCAUGCAUUUCUGAAACUGUUGUACUUAAGAAAAUCUGUCAGCAAAUUUUGAGUUGCUUCAUGAUAUACUUUUGCAAGACAAAGCAAAAUGUGCAGAAGGAAGGAUCUGUGUGCCUGAAAUCCUAAGAAACCAUUAUCUAUUUUGCAGAUCACUUUAUUAAUAAACAGAUUAUUACAAAAGUAAUUAUCUUAGAGAUGACAAUGCCAUUAGCUAACCCAUGUUGUUGUCUAUUGGGACAUAUAAAAAGUCUUUUUAAUUUGCUCUUCAAAAAAUCACUUACACCCACAACACUACUUCAGUCAACAAAGUAAAUCUAGGUAUGGGAAAACCAUGGCAAAAACUUUUUGCCAUGCUUUACCUUUUUGUCUUUAAAAUUUAAUGUAUUCAUUUUCGUUCGGAUUCUCUUUUCUCUCUUGAUUCACUGGAGGAAGGAUUUCUCUGGUGAAAAGUACCCCAAUCUGAUGCCUUUGCAAAAGCAGUCACCCCUCUGGCAUGAAAGGCACCAUUCAAUCAUCCAAACUCUUAGAGGUGAAGGGUACACUGAAUAAUGAGUGCUAAGAUGGUGUCUAUUGUAUUAUAAAUACCCAUUUUAGAAAACCCAAUAGUCAGAAAGUU
rnacentral:lncRNA from 10 species